GGAAGCAGUCCCGCUGCCUGUGGGCCAGGGCCUGAUGGGAAUUUCCUGGAAAAUUUUACAGUAAACUCCUCCUCUGCUGCUCUUCUUGCCUUCACAUAAGAAGUGUGUUAAGUAGAUAGGCCUAAUUCCUCUUUCCAACAGUAUAAACAUUUCUGAGGCAUGGUUCCUGUAGUGUUUUACUGUGAGAUUCUCAAAGCUCAUUGUGACUUGUCUCUCUGAUGCUAUACUGUGAAGUCCCUGUGCUGUGUGAGGGUACUGCAAUACUGAGUGGAUUCCAUCAUUCCUAUUCAAACUUCUUUGUCAUAUAAGCCUCUUGCUUGAAACUGCUGUGGGAAGACCAGGCUCACAGGAGCACAGCUGAUAUGCCAACAAAAUAAACUCCACGAACUAUUUUUUUUCAUUGAGCAUGAGAGAAAGAGUUGACAGGCGACUUAAAAUGAU